rnacentral:sRNA from 1 species
AUUGCUUCGCAGAGCCGUGGUGCCGCCUCCGUCUGCUGCUUCUUCUCUGGCGCUCUCGUCCCGUCGGCUUUCGCCGCCGCCGCCGCAGCUGCACUGGGGAUACGGAUGGCUAGGGGGGCGCAGAGGCCAUCUGGGUUGAAAGAGCGGCGAUCGCGGCCGCUGCUGAGGCGGAGACUCCCUGCCGCCGCUUCCUCCACCCCCAGUCCGCCGGCCUCGCGGCGCUGAGGGCGGGAGCGCGCAGAGCUCUUCUCUCCUCCUCCUUUUUCUUCCUCCUCCUCCUCCUCCGGGUCCCCGCCCAGCACCCCUCGCACCAGGCGGCCGCGGCGGCGGAGGAGGAGAGCUAGACCCGCCGCCGGGGCACAACAUGGCGGAGCCCUCGGCCCCGGAGAGCAAGCACAAGUCGUCCCUCAACUCGUCCCCGUGGAGUGGCCUCAUGGCCCUGGGAAACAGCCGGCACGGCCACCACGGGCCCGGGGCCCAGUGCGCGCACAAGGCGGCGGGCGGCGCGGCGCCGCCGAAGCCGGCCCCGGCGGGGCUGUCCGGGGGGCUGUCGCAGCCGGCUGGGUGGCAGUCGCUUCUCUCCUUCACCAUCCUCUUCCUGGCCUGGCUUGCCGGCUUCAGCUCGCGCCUCUUCGCCGUCAUCCGCUUCGAAAGCAUCAUCCACGAGUUCGACCCUUGGUUUAACUAUAGAUCAACACAUCAUCUUGCAUCUCAUGGGUUCUAUGAAUUUUUAAAUUGGUUUGAUGAAAGAGCAUGGUAUCCACUAGGAAGAAUAGUAGGUGGUACUGUUUACCCAGGGUUGAUGAUAACCGCUGGCCUUAUUCAUUGGAUUUUAAAUACAUUGAACAUAACAGUUCACAUAAGAGAUGUAUGCGUGUUCCUUGCACCAACUUUUAGCGGCCUUACAUCUAUAUCUACUUUCCUGCUUACAAGAGAACUUUGGAACCAAGGAGCAGGACUUUUAGCUGCUUGUUUUAUUGCCAUUGUACCAGGCUACAUAUCUCGGUCAGUAGCUGGAUCCUUUGAUAAUGAAGGCAUUGCUAUUUUUGCACUUCAGUUCACAUACUAUUUAUGGGUAAAAUCUGUAAAAACUGGGUCAGUUUUUUGGACAAUGUGCUGCUGCUUAUCCUAUUUCUAUAUGGUCUCUGCUUGGGGUGGUUAUGUAUUUAUCAUCAAUCUUAUUCCACUGCAUGUAUUUGUGUUGUUACUGAUGCAGAGAUACAGCAAAAGAGUCUACAUAGCAUAUAGCACUUUCUACAUUGUGGGUUUAAUAUUAUCCAUGCAGAUACCUUUUGUGGGAUUCCAGCCAAUCAGAACAAGUGAACACAUGGCAGCUGCAGGUGUCUUUGCAUUGCUGCAAGCUUAUGCUUUCUUGCAGUAUCUGAGAGACCGAUUAACAAAACAAGAGUUCCAGACCCUUUUCUUUUUGGGUGUAUCACUAGCUGCAGGUGCUGUGUUCCUUAGUGUCAUCUAUUUGACUUAUACAGGUUACAUUGCACCAUGGAGUGGCAGAUUUUAUUCACUGUGGGAUACUGGGCCUUUGGUUCUGUAUCAAAAAUAUCAACGAUGAAAGAGUAUUUGGUGCUUAACCAAGAAAAAUUCAUUGAGAGGCCGGGCAUGGUGGCACACGCCUGUAAUCCCAGCACUUUGGGAGGCCGAGGCGGGUGGAUCACCUGAGGUCAGGAGUUCGAGACCAGCCUGGCCAACAUGGUGAAACCUUGUCUCUACUAAAAAUACAAAAAUUAGCCGAACAUGGUGGUGCAUGCCUGUAAUCCCAGCUACUCAGGAGGCUGAGGCAGGAGAAUUGCUUGAACCUGGGAGGCGGAGGUUGCAGUGAGUGAAGAUCAAGCCACUGCACUCCACCCUGGGAAUCAGAGCAAGACUCUGUCUC